rnacentral:tRNA from 2 species
GGGCCGUUAGCACAGUGGUAAUGCAUCGCUCUCGCACAGCGGAGACGGGAGUUCGAUUCUCCCACGGUCCACCC